UCGGUGCAUGGACACUGUUUGGGGGGGGGAUGCUCAAGAUGGCGGCAUGAGGGGGUUUAACAUUUCUAGCUGAGGAUCAAUUUUAGGGUUUUCUCACAAGGUUUAUAGUUUUAGACUGCAGAUGAUUUUAAUUUGCACAAAAAUAAUUAAUUAAUCAAACUUUUGAAGAUUUCCAACGAACAAGCUAACGUUAGUUACCGAAAAGUUUCAGCGUGUGUCGUUAAGUUAGCCUGCUAACGUCUUCAUAGCUAGUAGCAUGGACUCAGGACAUGACCAAACUGUUGCUGAGAUAAUGGAUGUUGAAACUUCCAAGGAGAAAAGAGGCAUUGUUGAAACGCACUCAAAUGCUUGCAGUGUAAAAAAUGGGGAUGAAUGUGAUUCAUACCCGAAUACCCCAACCAAGGAGCAACUUCCAAAGAAGCUGAGAAGUGAGCCAGCUACUACAGGACAACAUCGUACGCAUCGUCACGGCCAACAAAAAAAAAGAACACUAAUAGUAUCGUUAACCUGACGAAAUCAAUUGAUUUCAGUGCUGAGGAAGUAAGAACUCUGAAGCAGCAUUGAACAUUCAGGUUGCAAAGCAAGAGAAGGAACUCACUCAAAUGGAGUCAAAGGUCAACGAGAAUGACCGGUAUAGUCGAAGAUGGAAUCUUUGAAUUUAUGGAAUAGCAGGAAAAUCUGACGAGAACAUCAAAGCAAGAGUGAAGGACAUUUGCAGGGCAAUAGUCCCUGUGCUGCCAUCCUGUUAGGAGGUAACAUAUUAUUUUAUUACAAUGGUUAAAAUUGAUUUUCAUUGUGUUCCAUGGUGUUAUUCGCCCCCAUAGUGGGGCUUUCUGGUAUUUGGACUGUACGCAAACAGGAAGUAGAGAAUUGUUCUGCAACCAUAGAAGCAGCUAAAAACAACGCUAGGCUGCAGGUCUUUCAGUGUAGUUAUUUCUUGUCACGCUUCAGCCUUGGAAAAUAUUUGUUUUUUCACAACAUAAACGUUUUCAAUAUAUUCAUUCAAGAAAAGUCACGCCUUCAGAGUUUUAUUGAAGACUUAGUUGUUGGAAACGCAAUUCAAGGGCAGAAUAGUCCCGGAGGAGGAGCGAAAUGUUGUUGCAGGUUCUCUGGAUGUAGUACAAUGCCUGGGUAGGCUGAGAGAUGGGGAAAACCAGCCACCACGACCAGUGAUCAUGAGAUUCAUCUGUAGGACAGCCAGGGAUAUGACAUGGAAAAAGUGCAAAGAAAAAUGGCUAUUUUAAAAAUAACAACCUGAGGUUCAAAGAGGAUCUGACAGCAUUUAAUAAAGAAGCUCGGAAUCAUCUGUGGCCGAUGAUUGAGAGAGCAAGGAAGGAAGGGAAAAGUGCAUACUUUGAUGGGAGCUAAGGCUUUUUGUUAAUGGAAGGGGAAUUCACACUGACACCUAGUUUGUUGACUGCUGGAUUUAUCAAGUGAGUUGUGCAGGACUGAGUUUUAUUUGCAUCUAAGAAAACUUUAUAUUUCUUGAGGAAAGAGCAUUGUUUGUGUGAGCCAAACUUUUUUUAUAUAUAUAUAUUUUUAAUGGCAGGGAUAUUCGCACUGACACUUAAUGUUAGCUUGAUGGGUAUUUGUUUUACCAAUCUAUGGUACAAUGUUAUUUGCAAUUUUAUUUAAAUAAUAUAUAUAUAUUUAGGUCAACCACUUGCGUGGUGCAAAGGACUGUUUUGAUUUGCAACUAGUAAGAACUUUUCUUUUUGUGAGAACCCGAUUCAUGUGAACGUAUACAAGUUUAAUAUUCUUCAUAUAGUCACUGUGAUAUUAAAUGUCAAUUUCUGUUUUUUCUAUUAAUGCCAGGGGAAUCUGUAAUAUUUUGAAAAGGAAAUCUUUAUUUUUGUAUUGUAAGAGUGCUGACUUUUAUUUCAUUCAAGAAACUCAUGCCUGUUCCACA